rnacentral:piRNA from 1 species
UUGCAGAUAUUUUUAUCUUUGAUCU